rnacentral:rRNA from 1 species
AACGAACGCUGGCGGCAUGCCUAACACAUGCAAGUCGAACGAGACCUUCGGGUCUAGUGGCGCACGGGUGCGGAACGCGGGGGAACCUGCCCUUAGGUUCGGAAUAACUCCCCGAAAGGGGUGCUAAUACCGGAUAAGGUCUUCGGACCAAAGAUUUAUCGCCUUUGGAUGGGCCCGCGUUGGAUUAGCUAGUUGGUAGGGUAAAAGCCUACCAAGGCGACGAUCCAGAGCUGGUCUGAGAGGAGGAUCCGCCACACUGGGACUGAGACACGGCCCAGACUCGUACGGGGGGGAGGAGUGGGGAAUAUUGGGCGCUGAGGCCAAGUGUGAUCCCGCCAUGUCGGGUGAGUGAUGCAGGCGUUAGGAUUGUACAGCUGUUUUACACGAGGUGAUAAUGACAGUACCGGGAAAAUAAGCACCGGCUAACUCCGUG